rnacentral:rRNA from 1 species
CGGGUGAGUAACGCGUAGGUUAUCUACCCCCCAACUCAGGCAUAACACUUCCAACGAGGUGCUAAUACCUGAUGAGGAGGCAGCUCCAAAGACCUUCGGGUCGGUUGGGGAUGAGCCUGCGUCCGAUUAGGUAGUUGGUAGGGUAAAGGCCUACCAAGCCGACGAUCGGUAGCUGGCCUGAGAGGGUGGUCAGCCACACUGGGACUGAGACACGGCCCAGACUCCUACGGGAGGCAGCAGUGAGGAAUAUUGGGCAAUGGGCGCAAGCCUGACCCAGCGACGCCGCGUGUGGGAUGACAGGGU